AACUGACUAAUGUGGGGGAGGAAGACAGUGCUCCUGAAGGUAGGAGUCUAUCAAUUGAUGAAGAUGAUCAUCCAAAUGUCAUAGACCAAAUGGAGCAAACAGCACACAGACCUAGUGGUGGGAGGAAAAAAUCCUUAAAUAAGAGUCACGGGGAAUGAUUAAUGGACUUCAAUGUCUGUACACUAAUGCGCAAAGCAUGGGAAAUAAACAAGAUGAGCUUGAGCUCUUGGUACAGCAAACUAAAUAUGACAUAAUAGGCAUCACUGAAACCUGGUGGGAUAAGUCCCACGACUGGAAUGUAAUAAUGGGGGGAUACAAUCUAUUUCAGAGAAACAGACCAGACAAGAAAGGAGGAGGAGUGGCGUUAUAUGUCAGGGAUGUGUAUACCUGUGAAGAGAUCCAAGAUUUAGAACCUCAAAGCCAAAGUGAGAGCAUUUGGGUCAAAAUUAAGGGAGAGAAGAAUAACAGUGACCUCAUUGUGGGAGUUUACUAUAGAUCCCCAAGCCAAACGGAGGACAUAGAUGAUGCCUUCCUGGAACAGAUGGCCAAGCAUGCAAAAGGAAGGGAGAUAGUAGUAAUGGGGGACUUCAAUUACCCGGAUAUUUGUUGGAUGUCAAACUCAGCCAAGAGCAUAAGGUCAAACAGAUUCCUCACUGGCCUUGCAGACAACUUCAUUGUCCAGAAAGUGGGAGAAGCAACAAGAGGAACAGCCAUUUUAGAUCUGGUCCUAACCAAUGUUGAUGACCUGGUUAGUGGGGUAGAAGUGGAAGGAUCAUUAGGCGCGAGUGAUCAUGCUCUUCUGAAGUUUACUAUACAGCGGAAAGGAGCAGCCAAGCAUACUAGGACUCAAUUUCUUGACUUUAAGAAAGCUGACUUCAUAAAACUUAGGGAAGUGCUGGGUGAGAUCCCAUGGACAGUAAUACUAAAAGGAAAGGGAGUUCAUGAUGGCUGGGAGUUUGUUAAGAGGAGAUACUAAAAGCACAACGUCAGGCAAUACCAAUGAGACAGAAACAUGUAAGGUGCCUAAAGAAGCCAGGGUGGCUAUCUAAAGAACUUUUAACUGAGUUAAGAUUAAAGAAGGAUGUGUAC